rnacentral:lncRNA from 1 species
AUAUUGAUACACGAGGGAUGAUAUAAUGAAUCCACGUAAUCUGUAUCCCAAUCCGUAUCGGAUUCGUAUAUUAUACGUCUAACAAUAACCAACAAACAAGUAUAUUUUUCUAUAAAAACCUCUCCUUUGCCAAGGCAUCGCCAUUACCUGAUUUUCAAUCCAACAAUGUCUCUCAACCUCUCUCUCUUUCUCAUCCUCUCUCUCUUCUUUAUCUCCGCUAUUUCUGCGGAGACAUUCAACGGUGAUGAUUCCCUGAUCAGACAAGUAGUUGAAGGUCAGGAUGAAUCAUCAUCAAACCUGUUGACCGCAGAGCAGCAUCACUUCUCGCUAUUCAAGAGAAAAUUCAAGAAAUCAUACCUUUCACAAGAAGAGCAUGAUUACCGGUUUUCCGUAUUCAAGUCUAAUCUGAGACGCGCGGCGCGUCAUCAGAAAUUGGACCCAACAGCGAGUCAUGGUGUGACUCAGUUCUCCGAUUUGACUUCGGCUGAGUUUAGAAAGCAGGUUU